AGAGUUUGAUCCUGGCUCAGAACGAACGCUGGCGGCAGGCUUAACACAUGCAAGUCGAACGCAUCCUUCGGGGUGAGUGGCAGACGGGUGAGUAACGCGUGGGAACGUGCCCUUCAGUUCGGAAUAACCCAGGGAAACUUGGGCUAAUACCGGAUACGUGCGAGAGCAGAAAGAUUUAUCGCUGAAGGAUCGGCCCGCGUCUGAUUAGCUAGUUGGUGAGGUAAUGGCUCACCAAGGCGACGAUCAGUAGCUGGUCUGAGAGGAUGAUCAGCCACAUUGGGACUGAGACACGGCCCAAACUCCUACGGGAGGCAGCAGUGGGGAAUAUUGGACAAUGGGCGCAAGCCUGAUCCAGCCAUGCCGCGUGAGUGAUGAAGGCCUUAGGGUUGUAAAGCUCUUUCGUCCGGGACGAUAAUGACGGUACCGGAAGAAGAAGCCCCGGCUAACUUCGUGCCAGCAGCCGCGGUAAUACGAAGGGGGCUAGCGUUGUUCGGAAUCACUGGGCGUAAAGGGCGCGUAGGCGGCUUGAUAAGUCGGGGGUGAAACCUGUGGCUCAACCACAGAAUUGCCUUCGAUACUGUCUGGCUUGAGACCGGAAGAGGUAAGUGGAACUGCGAGUGUAGAGGUGAAAUUCGUAGAUAUUCGCAAGAACACCAGUGGCGAAGGCGGCUUACUGGUCCGGUUCUGNNNCUGANNNGCGAAAGCGUGGGGAGCAAACAGGAUUAGAUACCCUAGUAGUCC
rnacentral:rRNA from 1 species